rnacentral:rRNA from 1 species
UAACUAUAAACGAUGUCAACGAAGGAUUGGAUAAAUUUCAAGACUAAUAACACAUAUCAGCAUUGCUGGUACAUGUUAGAAGUCGAAUACACCUUAUUCAGAACUUGAAGAGAAAUCUUGAGUUAUUGGACUUCAGGGGGAGUAUGGUCACAAGGCUGAAACUUAAAGGAAUUGACGGAAGGGCACACAAGGAGUGGAGCCUGCGGCUUAAUUUGACUCAACACGG